rnacentral:rRNA from 1 species
AUGAACGCUAGCGACAGGCCUAACACAUGCAAGUCAGGGGCAGCACAAGGAGCAAUCUGAGGUGGCGACCGGCGCACGGGUGAGUAACACGUGUGCAACCUGCCUGUAAGCGGGGAAUAACCCGUUGAAAGACGGACUAAUACCGCAUAAUACUAAAUUACUGCAUGGUAAUUUAUUUAAACAUUUAUGGCUUACAGAUGGGCAUGCGCAUGAUUAGCUAGUUGGAGAGGUAACGGCUCCCCAAGGCAACGAUCAUUAGGGGUUCUGAGAGGAAGGUCCCCCACACUGGUACUGAGACACGGACCAGACUCCUACGGGAGGCAGCAGUGAGGAAUAUUGGUCAAUGGACGAGAGUCUGAACCAGCCAAGUCGCGUGCAGGAAGAAUGUCCUAUGGAUUGUAAACUGCUUUUGCAGGGGAAUAAAGUGCAUCACGUGUGAUGUUUUGUAUGUACUCUGCGAAUAAGGAUCGGCUAACUCCGUGCCAGCAGCUGC